GAACGAGAAAGUGGAGUAAUCCAUGAGUACAGUGGCGACCGGGUGGGUAACACGUGACCAACCUACCCUCGAGUGGGGAAUAACUCCGGGAAACCGGAGCUAAUACCGCAUAACAUCGCAAGAUCAAAGCCGCAAGGCGCUUGAGGAGGGGGUCGCGGCUGAUUAGCUAGUUGGUAGGGUAAUGGCCUACCAAGGCGAAGAUCGGUAGCCGGCCUGAGAGGGCGCACGGCCACACUGGAACUGAAACACGGUCCAGACUCCUACGGGAGGCAGCAGUGGGGAAUUUUGCGCAAUGGGGGAAACCCUGACGCAGCAACGCCGCGUGGAGGAUGAAGUCCCUUGGGACGUAAACUCCUUUCGACCGGGACGAUACUGACGGUACCGGAAGAAGAAGCACCGGCUAACUCUGUG
rnacentral:rRNA from 1 species